GACGAACGCUGGCGGCGUGCUUAACACAUGCAAGUCGAACGGAAAGGCCCUGCUUUUGUGGGGUGCUCGAGUGGCGAACGGGUAAGUAACACGUGAGUAACCUGCCCUUGACUUUGGGAUAACUUCGGGAAACUGGGGCUAAUACCGGAUAGGAGCUCCUGCUGCAUGGUGGGGGUUGGAAAGUUUCGGCGGUUGGGGGUGGACUCGCGGCUUAUCAGCUUGUUGGUGGGGUAGUGGCUUACCAAGGCUUUGACGGGUAGCCGGCCUGAGAGGGUGACCGGCCACAUUGGGACUGAGAUACGGCCCAGACUCCUACGGGAGGCAGCAGUGGGGAAUAUUGCACAAUGGGCGGAAGCCUGAUGCAGCAACGCCGCGUGCGGGAUGACGGCCUUCGGGUUGUAUACCGCUUUCGCCUGUGACGAAGCGUGAGUGACGGUAAUGGGUAAAGAAGCACCGGCUAACUACGUG
rnacentral:rRNA from 1 species